UGGAUCACCUCCUAACAGGGAGACAAUACCUGAUCGUGAUGUCUGAGUACUUUAUUCUCAGGCCAUGAUCCUGUCAUCUCGAAGGUCGAUCGGUACCUCAACGUGAGCGGAAGAGAGAGUCUGAGUAAUCAGGCUGGAGACUUCCAAUCACCUUCAGUUCCUAAACUUUGUCUAGGUCACCCCACAGUGGGUAAAGCCGACCUUGAUGGCGUGCCAUCAAGCGUCAUUCUGAUCCAUCUCCCAGCCAAGCCGAAGGGCGAGGUUGAGAGAGCCAUCAGAAGUGGCACCAACUCCUGGGCCAUUAGCUCAGGUGGUUAGAGCGCACCCCUGAUAAGGGUGAGGUCCCUGGUUCAAGUCCAGGAUGGCCCAUUCGUGUUUGGGGGUUUAGCUCAGUUGGUAGAGCGCCUGCUUUGCAAGCAGGAUGUCAGCGGUUCGAGUCCGCUAACCUCCAUCUACCUUCUGAAACGCGUUUCCCCAAGGAUGCGGAGUUGAAUUCCGUGAGCUGUGUGGUGUGAUCAAGACCGGACCAAGGGUUGGAGCCGAUGACUUCAGCUUCCUUUCAUUCCAAGCAUUUUGAACAAGCUGCCCGUAAGCAGCAGAGUCAAAACCGCUGGUUGACAGGACGCUGGACUCAAGCCUGAUCCAGACGUGGCAUGGGCCAAAAGCUCUGUUGGCGUCUGAAUCAGUUGCUGUUCAGCAGAACCUUGACAACUGCAUAGGUAAGUCUGGAAAGAUAAAGCAUCUUGCAGAUGCUCAUCUUUUGAUUCUAGCCGAGUGAUCGGCAUGGGGAUCAAGGUGAUGAGUUUUCUGUUUCAAGAGCCGAGACCUUCCAGUGUUCUUCCCAAGCUGGAUGCCAGUGGCAUUCAGGGAUGGGGAGUCUGAUCCUUGCAUUCUGGGGUUGACUCCUGGGGUCUCUGCAAAGAGGCGAUCAGAGGUCAGAACCAAGAAUCUUGAGAGAAUGGGCCUCAACAGCCUGAAGCAUUGGGAGGAUAAUUGGUCAAGCUACAAAGGGCUCACGGUGGAUACCUUGGCACACAGAGGCGAUGAAGG
rnacentral:tRNA from 1 species